GCAACAUCUCAGCUGACAGCCGGCACAGCUGAGUAGGAUUCAUACACACUUAAAUCACCAUUUACUUCUGGCACAGUAAUGUAAACAACUGGUGAAUAUACCAUUAGAGCUACUUAUUUGACAGUCUGCAUGAAGCCAGAGGAACAUGCAGUUAACAACAUACAAGAAAUCUCCCCAUCUAGACAGAGUUUGGAAGGAGAGACAGCUUCAUCCUGAUUGCUCCCCAAGCUCCCAUUUGUGAGCUCCACUGAACAAGACACGUUUCUUCAAAAGGCUGAACAAUGCUCAGACAGAUGGAUUCAUAAGAGUACAGGCAUAUUGCAAGAGAGAUUUCUGCAGAAAGAUCACUGGAGAAACUUGAGAGCUUCCCUCCUGAUUGUGAGGAGAGUGUGAGGAAGUAUUUGGCUUUCUAAGUAGCUCUAGCAGACACGCAAACUAGCAGAAACUCAUCAGAAUGACUAGGAUGUUUCAGCGUAAACAGUUUGGAAGCCAAAUAGCACCAGGAGAUUCUUCCUCUCAGAGAUGGGAAUGCAUGAGGAGAGCUGCAAGCUGAGAGCAGACAGCAAAAGAGAAUGGAAGAAGGCUCUGGAACUGAGCACUUCUCUGCAGCUGAAAGAUAGCUGGCAACCAAGUCUUACAGCACUCUACCUGCUGUCUGCCCCCACUUCCAAAGGAAGAGGCGUAAGACGUCACCAUGGAGGCCCAAGGCAGGCUUUGCAGGGCAGAACAUCUGAUAGUUGUUUGGGUGGAGCAACGGAGCCUUCAGAUGAAGAAAUAUGGGCAAUGUUGCUUAAGACUGCUAUUGUAACUCCCAGGAUUUUGAAAGUCUAAAGCGUUGUCACAAAAACAGGGAAGAUGUUGACUUUUUAAGAAAGCCAUACAUUUUAUAGCACGCCAAUUUAAACAAUACCAGAGAAAACAUUUUUUCCUUUUACAAAGGGGAAAACUCACAGUUGUAGCCUUUAUCUAAUGUAUUAUUUGCCUCAAGCAACCGUUAAUACAGUUACAUAAAUUCUCAUUCUAUUAACCUAAAUGAAAGGCACGUCCAGUAACACGGGGCAAUAGGAAUCGCUGCUGUAAAUUAAAACAGUGCACAGGGUAUUGAUGUGAGGGGAACUUUAAAAGAUUUCUACGAGGCUCCUCAGGCAUGAAGCAGUAUUCUGAACACUGUAACAGCAGUUAGAAGCUUCGGGAAAAGGUGUACAUUAUUGGAAAGAAGUUUUGUUCACAGUGGGAGUUUCCUCUAAUCCUCCACAGAUUUAGAAAUAAUUUUUCAAGAGAGACCAAAUAAUACCCUAAAUUCCAUUAAAAUCCGAUGGGAUUUAUGUGCCUAACAUCCUAAGUCCUUCUGAAAAUCUCAGCUUUUAUGUUUGGCUUAUUCUGUACAGAAUGAGAGGCAGAUAUUUCUUGUAUAACUCAAACAGUUCAGAUUAUAUGCAAGUAAUCCAAACCACCUGUGGUGUGCUGCAGUCAAAAAAUGUGUGGUUGUUCCCUCCUCACCACCUUUCUUUUUCACAGUGGGGUUUUUAAUGCAUUUAGGCUUCAGACAAAAAGCACAACUCUCAGGUAAGCAUCAGUGUUGAUUUUUUUUUUUUUUUUUUUUUUUUUUUUUUUUUUUUUGCUCUGGAGGUUGGUCCUGACAGCUCCUUGGUGAGCAGCUGCAUCUGGGUGCUCCUGCAGGACAGCUAUGCACAGCGAGCAGCAGCUGCAGAGUCCCUGCACCUGGGGAAUCCCCAGUGAGGGAAAUCAGUCAGCCUCAGUUCUUUGAGCUACCAGAGCAGCAGAGGUGCUAGAUCAGCUUUGGAUACAUCUGCAGUAUUGAAGUGGCCCAGAAUUUCCACCCAUCGCUACUACAAAAUAAGCUACGGAAUCCUGUAUUCACUUUUCACAGAUUGCCUGGAAGUAACCUUUGAAGACAAAGUAUAGAAUCAAACUACUAAUCCAUAUAAAUAUCAUUUUAAAGCUGUACAUUUAUGAGGGGGUUUUGUUUUGUUUUUAAACACAGGAUUGAAACAGUAGGAUGGAUCCACUUCAAAUGUCACCUGGUCUUUGGCAGCUCAAACAUGUGGCUCUCUACAAGCAAGGUCUGAGAGAUGCUCUGCUCUAGCUGAUACUGUUGCAAAGAGCCGGCAGAGGAAAUCACUGAAGGAAAUCUAAAAGCGUUCCACUACCAAACAGGAAGCAAAGCAGCACCAAAAAGCUGUGCUGUUCACUGGGGAUCUGUUCAAACGAGAUGGUGUUGAAGAGAUUCAACCCAGGAUAGGAUGCUGCAAAGAUGAGUUUAAAGACUUGUAACAGAAUGAAAUGGAGCCUAAAAUUAGUACAGGGUGUUUUGCCUCUGCUCUAUAUUCCUGUCUGAUGUCGUGAGAUCGUAUCACUACUAGAGGCAAACGCUUUCUCACUGCUGCUGCUGUGAAAGGAUAACAGAAGAUGCCAAAACCUCUAGUGAGGCAUAUUAAAUGAAAAUCAAUAUAAACUUUUCUACUGUCCUUCUGUCACUGUACAGUAUUUCAGUGUUAAUGUUUUGAUUCAGUAGUUACAUAUCUAGCAGAGAGCAAAGCUGUGCCUGAUUUCACAAUAAACAGCUUUUAAUGGGGUACAUACAACAUUAGCAAUAUUUUGAGUGGAAAACAUGAGAUGGGAGUUUGUUGCUACGGGUUUUAGGGGCUUAAGUAAAAAUUAAAUUUGGAAUAGCCUCAGAAAGCUCACUUACCUCUCGCUGUUGCAAGUAACAAUCCAAAUAAACUCCCACAUAAACCCCCCUGCAAGCUGAAAAAUAAUCCUAGAGUAAAAUCUAGUUUCAAAAUUAAGCCACCUUAAUUUUAAUAUUGUUUCUAUGCCCAGGAAAAAUCAUCUUUGGAUAAAUGCAUUUGAAAAAAAUGAAAAGAACACAACUUUUGUUUUGAGAAUAUUCUGUGAAGGAGUUAUUUUCAGCUAGCUCACACUUGUUAACAAGCAGCACUUGGGCAGUCUCCUUAUUCUUUAAGUAGGCACAAAGACCAGAGCAUAGGUAUACCCACUCUCACUCACACAAUUGCCACUGGCAAGUGAAAGUACAGUUUCUUCAGUUUCUCAAGCACACAACACGCAACAUUGCUCAGAUAAUUUGAAAUUACGGUGGGAUCUAGUGACACUAUCCAAACUGUGCUGCCAGUCACCUCUCAUAAGGAGGCAAGACACAAGGAAACUAGAUACAGCCCAAGGAGGCAAGCACAGCUGGGAUUAAGGGUGUAAUAACUGAAUUGGACAGCACUUUUUGGCUCAGAUUAUUACUGCCAGCCCUAGCAGACCUAGUGAUCCUGCUCUUGAUUUUCUCAAGUUUUUGCAAGUUUACCCGACUUUUACUUUAGAGGUCAGACUGACACAUAGCCCAGGAGAUUAGCUACAUAAAUCUCAGAGCAACUUUCCCUCUUCCAAGGAAAAGUGCUGCUACACAAGGGGCAGUCCAUAGGCUUCUCACAAGCUCAGCUUUUCACUCUUGCUGAGACAUUUGGCAAAACUGAAAGGAGAUGAGAGGGAAAAGAACAGUUAAAGAAAUUGAGGUUAGAUAUGUACAAACAGAAACAUAUUUAGCAUGCACUUCACUUACAUCUUUUGAUUAAACCCAUUUUGCUCACUUUGGUACAUUUUAAUCUUAGAGACAAAGCCAACACAUACAAGCCAGUUAAAGACAAAAAAGGGAUAAGACUUAAAACUUUUCACCAAGUUCAUAGAUGAUCAGUAGCAAAGCCACAGGUAGAACCCAUGUUUCAUCCUAGUGUUGCUCUGUCAUGGAUAAGGUUUUUGGGACCUUUUCUUGGCCUUACCACUAUUAAAGCCUUUCCCAUCUACAGGGGAUGGUGACUCCCCUGCAUCUCAAACAAAAAUCAGUAUCACAUCUGUUGAAAUCAGAGUGACAUGUUGUAAUAGGUUUUAGAAGAACUAAGGUUUAGUGCUAGUUUUAUCUCCUAAGAAGCUAUUUCACAAGAUAAUGAUCAACUGGAGUUUACUCCGAGAGUCUAUUUUUUUUAGUCUCUCACAGACAAAAUUCAGUUGCAAUAAUCUAGAAAUGAACUCUUUGUUCUAGAUUAAAUAGUUAAAUAGAGUAGUACAUCGGUUCAACAGUUCAUGAAUUUAACUUAUGUAAUAAUGCUUGUGUAGCAUGAGGCUGCAUAAGCUGUUUAAACAGACUUACUCCUAGAUCCAGAGAAGACAUUUAGGGAAGCACUGCUUCUGAAUGGAUUACGUAACGCAUUAUAAACCUUUCUCUUAACUAGCAUCUCUGCCAAAUAGCACUUCAUUGCAGUUCUCCAACCUUACAAUAAAAAUACAAAGAACCUGCCUGGCCACUAACAGCAUUCACAUAAGGGGAUUUUCAAUCUAGUUCUCUAUAAGCAUCCACUAAGAAGUUUAAACCACAAACUUUUACUUCAGCAUAAAAAGGGACUAUGCAGGACUUUCUAAAAACAUUUGUGCAGAGGUAUGAAUAGCUGCCUUGGGGAAACUCCCCCAUAUUAAUAGAAAUAGCUGUUAUUGCCCAUGCUGUGCUAUGGCUCGGAGGGAAUAAUUACAAGUAUUCUUGUAACUUAUUCUGUUUGAAUGCAGUGGUUUUCAGAAUAGCAUCUCAGUAAGUGGGAGUCAGAAAGCAAGCUGAUAAAAAAAAAAAAGAGAGAGAAUGUUUACCAGUAUAAAUGCUAGAAGCAAGUACCAGUAAAGGUAACGGACACAUUUCUGGCCAAGGAGGCACAGAGUCUUGCUGCCCCUCCAUUCUGCAAGAUCAGAUUGCCCCCUCCUUAGGAUUUUUAACUGAACUAAGAUAAACUCUCAGUUUCAUGGACUGCGGUCUAACUAGCAAAGUACCAGUCCAGAUCAUAGGAUAUCUGUCAAACUGAAAUCCAAGAUAACAAGAAAAUGUGCCUGUCGAUGUAAACCUAUGGAUUCUGAUGUUAACACAUGGCAUUUCUCAACUGUGAUCAAUUACAGCAAAACUGCAACAGUAACACUGUACUCCCCAAACAGUUCAGCUAUAGUGUCUUCCCAUCCUUUUAUCCCAAAAGACUUCAGCUAUAACGGCUUUUCUUGUCCUCUUAAUUGGUCCUAAGUAAGGGGAAGGGGGUCAUAAAUGACUGACAGUCAAUCUAUUUUUAUGGUCUGUUUCUGAAGAAUCAAUAUCCACAGGUGUUAGAAUGGCAAUUUAACAGUGAUUACUGAGGAACAUUUAAAUCAGCUGCUCUUUAAAUAUAAAGUUACUGUUGUCAAUUUUUCCCCAGCAUUUCCUGGAAACACAUUCUUGACUUUCUAGAAAUCCUGUGAAAUUAACCAACUCUAAAGGAAGCAGCAUGAAGAGGAAAAAACCUGAAACAACAGAUAACAUAUUUUCUUCAUAUCUGAGAGUGUCAUUCAUAAUAAAACAAUGCUGAACUCUGAGAGACCAUGUGCCAUUAAAUGUCCUGACUGUAGAGCUCUGCAGUAUUCUGGGGGAAAAGAAUGACACUUCAUUUGCUGUUUACUGAUGCUGUCUGCUUGAAUCUUGCACAGCAGUGAAAAAACAUUCCACUGCAUGAAUAUCACCAAAAAUAUUAGUGACCUGCCGGGCAGUCCUUGUUUUCUUCAUCUUGAAGUUGCCCAAAAGAGUAACCUUAAAAGUCACCAGGAGUUUGCUGGGUGCCAAAUCUAAGGUCAAGAGGAGUCAUGGAUCAACAUUUCAUGAAAUAAAUAAAGGAACUUGUAAGACUAACAAGCUGAAGUUUCUCAAUGCCCUGUGUUUGACUAAACCAAAAUGGGGGGAGGGGGAAGAAGAAAGCAAGGAAGAAGAAAACAUUCAGUCAACAGUCCAACUAUUUCUAUUAAUA
ensembl:lncRNA